rnacentral:tRNA from 1 species
GGGUUGGCUCAGUGGUUAGAGCCACUAACAGUUUAGGUCUCGUAACCGAAAGGUCGCGGGAUCGAAUCCCGCUAGAGGCCCA